rnacentral:misc_RNA from 1 species
GGACUACAGGGGUAUCUAAUCCUGUUUGCUACCCAUGCUUUCGUUCCUCAGCGUCAGUAUCGAUCCAGAGUGGCGCCUUCGCCACCGGUGUUCCUCCUAAUAUCUGCGCAUUUCACCGCUACACUAGGAAUUCCCCACUCCCCUAUCGAACUCAAGUUAAGCAGUAUCGGGUGGCGUCUCUGGGUUGAGCCCAGAAUUUUCACACCCGACUUACUUGACCGCCUACGAACUCUUUACGCCCAAUAAAUCCGGACAACGCUUGAAGCCUAUGUAUUACCGCGGCGGCUGGCACC